AUGCCGCCCGCGGCCAUGCCGCCGCCGCCCCCGCCCCCGCAGGGCGCCUCCACAGGGGAUCCGCUGUACGACGAGCUCUGGCACGCCUGCGCCGGCCCGCUCGUCACCGUGCCGCGCGUCGGGGACAUGGUCUACUACUUCCCGCAGGGCCACAUCGAGCAGGUGGAGGCCUCCAUGAACCAGGUCGCCGCCAACCAGAUGCGCCUCUACGAUCUGCCCUCCAAGCUGCUCUGCCGCGUCCUCAACGUCGAGCUCAAGGCGGAGGCGGACACGGACGAGGUCUACGCGCAGGUCAUGCUCAUGCCGGAGCCGGAACAAAGUGAGACGACAACGGAGAAGUCGAGCCCUGCAACAGGAGGCGCCACGCCUGCCAGGCCGGCGGUGAGGUCCUUCUGCAAGACGCUCACCGCGUCCGACACCAGCACACAUGGCGGCUUCUCGGUGCUGCGCCGCCACGCUGAUGAGUGCCUCCCUCCCCUGGAUAUGACGCAGUCUCCUCCCACACAAGAGCUUGUGGCAAAGGAUCUUCAUGGCAUGGAGUGGCGCUUCCGCCACAUUUUCCGUGGGCAACCUAGGAGGCAUCUCCUUCAGAGCGGCUGGAGCGUCUUUGUCAGUUCCAAAAGGCUUGUUGCUGGGGACGCCUUCAUUUUCCUCAGAGGAGAGAGCGGUGAGCUUCGUGUUGGUGUGAGGCGGGCUAUGAGACAGCUUUCCAACAUAGCUUCUUCAGUCAUAUCUAGUCAUAGUAUGCACCUUGGAGUCCUUGCAACUGCAUGGCAUGCUAUCAAUACAAAAACCAUGUUCACUGUCUACUACAAACCCCGGACAAGCCGUUCUGAGUUCAUUAUACCAUAUGAUAAAUAUAUGGAGUCUGUUAAAAACAUUUAUUCUAUUGGGACGAGGUUCAAGAUGAGGUUUGAAGGGGAAGAGGCACCAGAGCAGAGGUUUACUGGGACUAUAGUGGGCAGUGAUAAUCUUGAUCAAUUGUGGCCGGAAUCAAGCUGGAGAUCCCUUAAGGUGCGUUGGGAUGAGUCGUCAACUAUUCCACGGCCGGAUAGAGUCUCUCCUUGGGAAAUAGAGCCUGCUUCAUCACCUCCUGUUAACCCGCUUCCCAUUUCUCGGCCCAAAAGAUCUAGACCAAAUGUUCCUCCAGCUUCUCCUGAAUCGUCUGUUCGUACAAAAGAAGGUGCAACUAAGGCUGAUAUGGAUUGUGCUCAAGCACAACGAAAUCAAAAUAACACUGCCUUGCCAGGUCAAGAACAGAGGAGCAAUAAGCUAACUGACAUUAAUGACUUUGAUGCUAGUGUUCAGAAGCCUAUGAUGUGGUCACCACCACCACCACCCAACAUCGGAAAAAACAACCCACUAACGUUUCAGCAGAGGCCCUCUGUGCAUAAUUCGUUUCAGUUGGGAAGGCGUGAAACUGACUUUAAGGAUGCCAGUUCUGGUGCUCAACCUUUUGGUGAUUCCCUAGGCUUCUUCAUGCAGACAACCUUUGAUGAGGCUCCAAAUCGUCUUAGUUCAUUCAAGAACCAGUUUCAGGACCACAGUUAUGCUCGUCAAUACGCAGAUCCGUACUUAUUUAUGCAUCAGCAACCUUCCUUGACUGUUGAAUCAAGUAGAAAGAUGCACACAGAGAACAAUGAGAUGCAUUUCUGGAAUGGGCCGAGCACUGCGUACAGUAAUUCAAGAGAUCAAGCACAAGACUUCAGAUUUACAGAACACCCAUCAAAUUGGUUAAGUCCGCAGUUCUCCCGGGCAGAACAGCCACGAGUGAUCAGGCCUCACGCAUCAAUAGCUCCUAUUGAGCUGGAGAAAACAACAGAAGGCAGUGAUUUCAAGAUCUUUGGGUUUAAAGUUGAUACUGCCAGUGCUGGUUUUAACCAUUUGAACUCCCCAAUGGCUGGAACGCAUGAGCCUGUGCUACAAACUCAACCAUCUGUAUCAUUAGAUCAUUUGCAAACUGAUUGUUCUCCUGAGGUGUCCUUAAGCAUUGCUGGGACGACUGAGAAUGAGAAAAACAUGCAGCAAUGUCCGCAGAGUUCAAAAGACGUCCAAAGCAAGUCCCAUGGUGCUUCCACAAGGAGUUGCACAAAGGUUCAUAAGCAAGGUGUUGCACUUGGUAGAUCAGUGGAUCUCUCAAAGUUCGUUGACUAUGAUGAACUCACAGCUGAGCUAGACAAGAUGUUUGAAUUUGAUGGUGAACUGUUGUCCUCAAACAAAAAUUGGCAGAUCGUUUAUACUGACAACGAGGGUGACAUGAUGCUCGUGGGAGACGAUCCAUGGGAGGAGUUCUGCAGCAUAGUGCGCAAGAUAUGCAUUUACACCAAGGAGGAGGUCCAGAAGAUGAACUCGAAACCAUCUGGCCCAAAAAAGGAGGAAGGUUCAGUGGAUGGUGACGGCGCAACCGAGAAGGCCCAUCUUCCCGCAUCAAGCGAUUUAAAUUCUAGCCAACUAGGUAUGUGCUUUUUAAAACCACAUGCAAUUGGUCAAGUUCACACUGUUUUCGGUGCAUUCAAUCCCCCCAUUUACCUAAACCGACUAGCCGCAAGCAUGGUUUGCAUGAUAUUGUUGUUUGCUAUCACAAGCAUCACCCGCCGGAAGCGGCUGACCGUUCAGAUGUUGGCCUUGGCGGUCUCUGCAGGUUGUGUCAAGGCCGACUGA
rnacentral:rRNA from 1 species